GGUUAUGCUAGAAAGAGCGCAGGGUGGAUGCCUUGGCACUAAGAGCCGAUGAAAGACGUGAUAAGCUGCGAAAAGCUUCGGGGAGGAGCAAAUAUCCGAUGAUCCGGAGAUAUCUGAAUGGGGAAACCCGGCUGGACAGACUCCAGUCAUCCAUACGCCAAUCCAUAACGUAUGGAAGGGAACCCGGUGAACUGAAACAUCUAAGUAGCCGGAGGAAGAGAAAACAACAAGUGAUUCUGUGAGUAGCGGCGAGCGAAAACGGAAGAGCCCAAACCGGAAUGCGUGCAUUCCGGGGUUCGGACCGCGUAAUUGAUCUGAUAAGUUUAGCAGAAUGGUUUUGGGAAAGCCAGCCAGAGAGGGUGAAAGCCCCGUAAGCGAAAGACGAGUCAGCAAGGCGGAAUCCAGAGUACCACGAGACACGAGAAACCUUGUGGGAAUGAGCGGGGACCACCCCGUAAGGCUAAAUACUCCUUAGUGACCGAUAGCGCAUAGUACUGUGAAGGAAAGGUGAAAAGGACCCCGGGAGGGGAGUNNNNGGGAGUGAAAGAGAACCUGAAACCCUGUGUUUACAAGCUGUGGAACAUCUUUAUAUGAUGAACCGCGUACUUUUUGUAGAACGGUCCGGCGAGUUACGCCAUCUGGCGAGGUUAAGUUCUUAAGGAAUGGAGCCGAAGUGAAAACAAGUCUUAAUAGGGCGUUAAGUCAGAUGGAGUAGACCCGAAACCGGGUGAUCUAUCCAUGUCCAGGAUGAAGUUGCCGUAAAAGGCAAUGGAGGUCCGAACCCACAUCCGUUGAAAAGGGUGGGGAUGAGGUGUGGAUAGGGGAGAAAUUCCAAUCGAACCCGGAGAUAGCUGGUUCUCCUCGAAAUAGCUUUAUAGGGCUAGCCUCAUGAGAGUCUUUUGGAGGUAGAGCACUGAAUUCCCGCGGGGGCGUCAAAGCUUACCAAAGGAUAUCAAACUCCGAAUGCCAGUAAGAUGAUUCAUGGGAGUCAGACUGCACGAGAUAAGUUGGGUAGUCAAAAGGGAAAGAGCCCAGACCUGCAGCUAAGGUCCCAAAAUGUGUGUUAAGUGGAAAAGGAUGUGGGAUUUCAAAGACAACCAGGAUGUUGGCUUAGAAGCAGCCAUACAUUAAAAGAGUGCGUAAUAGCUCACUGGUCGAGAGGUCCUGCGCCGAAAAUGUCCGGGGCUGAAACACACUACCGAAGCUCAGGAAUUAACGUAGUUAAUUGGUAGAGGAGCAUUCUUAAAGGGAAGAAGCAGUACCGGAAGGAGCUGUGGACUUUUAAGAAGAGAGAAUGCCGGAAUGAGUAGCGAGAGGAAGGUGAGAAUCCUUCCGGCCGAAUACCCAAGGUUUCCAGAGUAAAGCUGAUCUGCUCUGGGUAAGUCGGGGCCUAAGGUGAGGUCGAAAGACGUAGCCGAUGGACAACAGGUUGAAAUUCCUGUACUGCAGUAUAACAGAACUGUGGGGACGCAGAGGGAGAGCACUAGCGGGAAUGGAAUCCCGUGGCAAGCGAGGUAGGAGUCGCGUUGGCAAAUCCGCGUGACAAUCCGAAGACGUGAUGCAUACCGAACAAAAGUAGGGAAAUGUGUGAGCCAGCUGCCAAGAAAAGCCGCUAUUGUUUGUACUGUACCCGUACCGUAAACCGACACAGGUAGGUGAGGAGAGAAUCCUAAGGCCGACGGGAGAAGCAUUGUUAAGGAACUCGGCAAAAUGACUCCGUAACUUCGGGAGAAGGAGUGCCAGUGAGAGCUGGCCGCAGAGAAUUGGCCCAAGCAACUGUUUAGCAAAAACACAGGUCUAUGCAAAACCGUAAGGUGAAGUAUAUGGGCUGACGCCUGCCCGG
rfam:Clostridiales bacterium 42_27 Ley3_66761_scaffold_35735, whole genome shotgun sequence.